rnacentral:lncRNA from 1 species
AGAGGAAGUCUUAUUUGGGUUGCGGUCCUAUUUGGUGUCCGGAAGCAAGCCACUCAGGACCAUACAUGGGUCCGCGAGGCAGAGUUGCCUAGACAUUUUAUUUUUUGAUUUUUUUAUUUGUAUCCGUACAUAUUAGAUAUGAUACCACCGGUUUUAGCGGAAAAAAAAUAAAGCAAGCAAGCCAAGAGACUUGACUAACUUCGUUUUUUUUUUUUGUUCUCGUUUUCAUGCUAAACAAGCCAAGCUCACCUACCCAUGGCAAAAUUUUAAUUAUGAAUCAUUUUAUGCAUGAAUUGUGAUCGACAGAUCAUCUCUCUUAGCGCCUCAGCAAACAAGCUCUCCAAGAUCCAAGAGCAGGCGGAGGAGUACGCCCGCCUCAUUAUGGAAGAAUUGGACCCCAAUAGUCUUGGCUACAUCGAGGUAAAACACCAUCGAAUUCUUCUAAAGAAAAAGAAAAUUAGAAUGAUUUCGAGAAAAAGGCCAGGAAGACUGAUUAGAUGAUGAUCGGCUUUCAGAUAUACAAUUUGGAGAUGCUUCUGCUGCAAGUCCCGGGGCAGUCGAUCCGGAUCGGGACGACGAACAGCAGGAACCUGAGCCAGAUGCUGAGCCAGAAGCUGAAGCCGACCGAGGAGCCGAACCCACUCCGGCGGUGGUACCAGCGGGCCAGGUACUUCCUGGAGGACAACUGGAAGCGGGUAUGGGUGCUGGCGCUGUGGCUUGCCAUCUGCGCCGGCCUCUUCGCCUGGAAGUUCAUGCAGUACCGGCGCCGGGCGGUGUAUCACGUCAUGGGCUACUGCGUCUGCGUCGCCAAGGGCGGCGCCGAGACCCUCAAGUUCAACAUGGCCCUCAUCCUCCUCCCCGUCUGCCGCAACACCAUCACCUGGCUCCGCAACAAGACCAAGCUCGGCGCCGCCCUCCCAUUCGACGACAAUCUCAACUUCCACAAGGUAUUUAUAUAUAUAUAUGUAUCUUCUCCGCCGGUUGUUUUUGAAAACCUCCGCCUUUAAAAGUAUUAAUUAUAUGACUUCGAAAGCCAAUCAUAUAUGUUCUUGUCCUCUUGUGUUUUUUUAAUUAAUAGGUGAUUGCGGUGGGGAUCGCCAUUGGCGUGGGAUUGCACGCAAUCUCGCACUUGACCUGCGACUUCCCGCGGCUCCUGCAUGCGAGCGACGCGGCGUACGUGCCGAUGAAGCCAUUCUUCGGGGACACGAGGCCGAACAACUACUGGUGGUUCGUGAAGGGAACGGAGGGGUGGACCGGGAUCACCAUGGUGGUGCUGAUGACCAUCGCCUUCGUUCUGGCCACCCCGUGGUUCCGCCGCGGCCGGAUCGGGCUUCCCAAGCCCCUGAACCGGCUCACCGGUUUCAAUGCCUUCUGGUACUCCCACCACCUCUUCGUCAUCGUCUACAUCCUCCUAAUCAUCCACGGCAUCUUCCUUUACCUCUCCCAUCAAUGGUACAAGAAGUCGGUAAGCAUAUAUCAUACCAAAAGCACCUUAAUAAUUUUCUCCAUCUAAUCCACUCCGAACGUACGUUAAUCUUAUUUAAUUAAUGGCAGACCUGGAUGUACCUGGCGAUCCCGAUGAUCAUCUACGCGACCGAGCGGCUGAUCAGAGCGUUCAGAUCGAGCGUGAGGCCGGUGAAGAUACUGAAGGUGGCGGUGUACCCAGGGAACGUGCUGGCUCUCCACGUGUCCAAGCCUCAGGGCUUCAAGUACCGGAGCGGGCAGUACAUAUUCGUCAACUGCGCUGCCGUGUCGCCUUUCCAAUGGUGGGUAUAGCUUUUGUUUAGCACUGGAUAGAUUCCUGGCUGAUUAAAUUAGCUAAUCUUUGUAUUCUAUUACGAAACAGGCAUCCGUUCUCUAUCACUUCAGCGCCCGAAGAUGAUUACCUCAGCGUCCACAUACGGACGCUCGGCGACUGGACCCGCCAGCUCAAAACGGUUUUCUCGAGAGUACGUGGCGCUGUUGUUAUGCUUUAGAUUUACCUUACUAAUUUUGGAUUACAGAUGGGAUGACAGUAGAGGAUUUUAACUAGUAGUAAUUAGUGGGUUAAAUAAUAUAUAGCAUGGUAGUAAUAUUUUUGAGGUAAUGCUAAUAGAUGAGUGGGAUUUGGUUAAUGGAAUCAGGUGUGCCAGCGACCGGCCGAUGGGAAAAGCGGGCUUCUGAGAGCCGACUGCGAUGGCGACGCCGACAUCUCCAUUCCAAGGUGAGGACCAGCUUAACCUUCUUCCUCCUGCGCUCCGAUAUUAAUAUCCAGCUCACAUGACAAACGAUUGAAGGCCACCACCUCUGAUAUUUUUGGAACACGACGAACCUCUUUCACGCUCUUUGCUUGCCGGCCUCUCCAACUCUCUCUCACUUCCUUGUCUCUUUCAACAGUAUUAGUCAUGCAGCUGGCUCUGUUUGUUGCCUACUUAUAUUAUAUUAAUGUACGCACCAAAAGAAAAAACAAAAAAAAGAACGAAAGAAGUAGAGGGACGGCAAGUCUUAAUUUGGAGAAGCGAUGGUACUCAGAAGAGUGGAUUAAUUUAUUUAUUCAUUUGGUUUGCAAAAUGCGAGUGCAGCAUGCCUCGGGUGCUGAUAGAUGGACCCUAUGGAGCGCCGGCCCAGGACUACAAGAAGUACGACGUGGUUCUGCUGGUGGGGCUGGGCAUCGGCGCCACCCCCUUCAUCAGCAUCCUCAAGGACAUCGUCAACAACAUGAAGCAGCUGGAAUCGGAAGGCCUGCUCGACUCGGAGGGCGAUCGGGAUCUGGAAGGCGCCGGCGGCAGCAGCCAUAGGCCCAGCGGAACGUCGUCGACGUUCAAUACCCGGAGGGCCUACUUCUACUGGGUGACGAGGGAGCAGGGGUCGUUCGAGUGGUUCCGUGGGGUGAUGAAUGAGGUGGCGGAGACGGACAAGAAGGGGGUGAUCGAGCUGCACACCUACUGCACCAGCGUAUACGAAGAAGGGGACGCCCGGUUACUUCUACUGGGUGACGAGGGAGCAGGGGUCGUUCGAGUGGUUCCGGGGGGUGAUGAACGAGGUGGCGGAGACGGACAAGAAGGGGAUGAUCGAGCUGCACACCUACUGCACCAGCGUGUACGAGGAAGGGGACGCCCGGUCCGCCCUCAUCACGAUGCUGCAGUCCCUGAACCACGCCAAGCACGGGGUCGACGUCGUCUCC